UUGCUUGCUUCAGCAGCACAUAUACUAAAAUUGGAACGAUACAGAGAAGAGUAUAGCAUGACCCUUAAGCAAGGAUAACAUGCAAAUUCGUGAAGCAUUCCAUAUUUUU
rnacentral:snRNA from 1 species